rnacentral:rRNA from 1 species
CCCUUAGAUGUUCUGGGCCGUACGCGCGCUACACUGAUGCAUUCAACGAGUCUAAAACCUGCUCUGAUAGGGGUGGGUAAUCUUUUGAAUGUGCAUCGUGAUUGGGAUAGAUGAUUGCAAUUUUUCAUCUUCAACGAGGAAUGCCUAGUAAACGCAAGUCAUCAGCUUGCAUUGAUUACGUCCCUGCCCUUUGUACACACCGCCCGUCGCUCCUACCGAUUGAAUGAUCCGAUGAAUAUCAUGGAUUGAGGAUGCAAGCAGGUUCGCCUGUCUUCAUCUUCUAGAAGUGAAGUAAAUCUUAUCAUUUAGAGGAAGGAGAAGUCGUAACA